GUCAAAGAGCAGGAAGUACUGUAUAAUGUAGCUGUAUAACACCCACCUGUCUCAGAUGGGACAGAGCCACUCAGAGGGAGAGGGAGAGCUGACAACAAUAUCAAGAAACAACAUCGACAACAACAAACAUCGGGGAUGGGCCACUCUCUGUUUCUCCUGUUCUUCUCAGGGCUGUCUGUCCUCCCCUCAUGCCUCUCUCAUCAGUUCCACUUUGUGAACAUCAGUAAAAACUGGACUGAAGCUCAGAGUUACUGCAGACAGAACUACACUGACCUGGCCUCCAUAGACGACAUGGCUGAUAUGAACAGGCUCAAUAACACAGUAAAGGCUGGGUUAUUAACUGAACCAGCCUGGAUAGGGUUGUAUAACACCAGCUGGAGGUGGUCUCUGGGAGACACAGAGUUAGGGACGGUGGUGUUCUGGGACAAAAAGCACGGAGAAAUCAACGACCAACCAGAUAAUGUAAAAAACAAUGAGUUCUGUGUGUUUAUGCGAAAUGGGUCAUGGCAUGAUGAGAACUGUAGUACACAACAUAAUUGUGUCUGCUAUGGUGAGUUCCCC